rnacentral:tRNA from 1 species
AACGAGUUUGUAAGCAAGUCUUCUAAAUUUGUUCUAGGUUAGAUCCUGCUCGUUU